AUUGAACGCUGGCGGCAUGCCUUACACAUGCAAGUCGAACGGCAGCACGGGUGCUUGCACCUGGUGGCGAGUGGCGGACGGGUGAGUAAUACAUCGGAACGUACCUUAUCGUGGGGGAUAACGCAGCGAAAGCUGUGCUAAUACCGCAUACGCCCUGAGGGGGAAAGCGGGGGAUCGAAAGACCUCGCGCGACGAGAGCGGCCGAUGCCGGAUUAGCUUGUUGGUGGGGUAAAAGCCCACCAAGGCGACGCACAGUAGCUGGUCUGGGAGGACGAUCAGCCACACUGGGACUGAGACACGGCCCAGACUCCUACGGGAGGCAGCAGUGGGGAAUUUUGGACAAUGGGGGCAACCCUGAUCCAGCAAAGCCGCGUGAGUGAAGAAGGCCUUCGGGUUGUAAAGCUCUUUUGUCAGGGAAGAAACACCGGCUCUAACACAGUCCGGGAAUGACGGUACCUGAAGAAUAAGCACCGGCUAACUACGUGCCAGCAGCCGCCGUAA
rnacentral:rRNA from 1 species